CCCUUAGAUGUUCUGGGCCGCACGCGCGCUACACUGGUGCAUUCAACGAGUCUAAAACCUGCUCUGAUAGGGGUGGGUAAUCUUUUGAAUGUGCAUCGUGAUUGGGAUAGAUGAUUGAAAUUUUUCAUCUUCAACGAGGAAUGCCUAGUAAACGCAAGUCAUCAGCUUGCAUUGAUUACGUCCCUGCCCUUUGUACACACCGCCCGUCGCUCCUACCGAUUGAAUGAUCCGAUGAAUAUCAUGGAUUGAGGAUGCAAGUAGGUUCACCUAUCUUCAUCUUCGAGAAGUGAAGUAAAUCUUAUCAUUUAGAGGAAGGAGAAGUCGUAACA
rnacentral:rRNA from 1 species